rnacentral:rRNA from 1 species
UACGGGGGGGGCAAGCGUUGUUCGGAAUUACUGGGCGUAAAGCGUGCGCAGGCGGCCUUCCAAGUCAGGGGUGAAAGCCCAGAGCUCAACUCUGGAAUUGCCUUUGAGACUGUGAGGCUUGAGUACGGGAGAGGUGAGUGGAAUUCCCAGUGUAGAGGUGAAAUUCGUAGAUAUUGGGAAGAACACCGGUGGCGAAGGCGGCUCGCUGGCCCGUAACUGACGCUCAUGCACGACAGCGUGGGGAUCAAACAGG